ensembl:lncRNA
GCUUCCGGAAGCCGGAAGCGGGAGGGCCCGCCCCUUCCGGCACCGUGGGCGCAGCCCUGAGAUGCCCGUGCUGUGGCCCGGAGAGGCUCGUGCUGGGCUUCUGGCCUCGGGGCCGUCAGAGGACCUGUGAGGAGAGGAGGCCACUGCACUUUCGCCGUCUCGGGCCCUGGGUGCCCCGUGUGCUCCGCCAGGGAACCCGUUAGAGACGCAGGCCCCUGUGUCGGCGCCAGCUGGGUCGAGGCCGGGCGUGCGUGUAAGAGCAGAGCUGGCCCUGCCCGCCCCGGGCCAGGCGAGCAGGGCGGGGAGGAGCGGAGGCAGGAGGACCCGGCUCAGCUCGUCUCCCCCUGAGCCGCGACGCUCCUUCACCCUGGAGCCUCCUCGGACGUCCUAGGAGACCACGAGAGAGGCUCUCUUGAAGAUGACAGCCCGGCUACUAAAGAGUGUGCCUCCUGCAUGUUCAUCUGGUGAUUCCUCACAGCACAUUCAGGCUGCGUGGAGCAGGGCCGGGUCUCAUCACACCACCUCUCCCAGGAGUCACCUUUGGGCAGCCCCGUGACUGCUGUCUGUUAUCAUUAACCACUUAGGAUGACACCUCCCAGGCAUGUCCGUUUCAUGUUCCUCUCUUCUCCUUUUUGGUAUUUUGCAUAUAAAUACUCUGAAAUUAGUAACUUGUUUCUUUGCAUCGAUGGUCGGCCUGUAUGUGGACACUUCUAUGACGCCUUCAUCUCCCCCCACCCACUGGAUCACCCCCUGUCUGUAUUAGCUUGGCUGUCUGACUCCUCUCCCUCUGACCUCCUGGACAGCGCUCCUGCCUCCUGCCGGAUGAGACCUGGCCCUGGGGCCGGGGCCGUCGAGAAGGACGCUGGGCCCCCCGUGCGCUCGCCCUGCUGUGCCAGCUGUGAGGACGGUGUCUCACUCCACACCCGGCUGUGCCUGUGCUCCCGCAUCGCAGAAGCUACUGAUCCCGCCUCCUCAGAGCCGGCUGCAGUGGGCUGGGGGCGGCUUCCUGCCUGUUCAAGGUGGGGAAGGGGCCUGCCCUCCACAGUCCACAUCCCCCCUCGGGAGACUCGGGUGUCCCCGCUCCCGAGCCUUUCGGGGGUCCUUGGGGAGCAGCCAAGUGUUGUUGCUUUGUCCAUCCUGACGGCACCCAGGUUUCAUCACUGCUGUAUUCUGUCAGUGGCCACUGUGAAUUUGCUUUCCAUCCUCCAAAAAUGCACUGCCGCCUUGAGUCUGCCAUCAACGCCUUUCCUGUUCCACUGGGGAGCACCACCUCUGUUCUAUAGGGAUGACUUCAGUGCUGGGGAGCAGGGAGAGAGGAUGUUCUCAUCUCCUGAGCCACUCGGACCUGCCUUCUCUGCCGCCGUCCAGCUGCUCCUGUGCUUUAUACGUUUACCUCCCCAGCCCUUCCUCUUUUUCAACUGUCCACAAAGACUGAGCACCAAAGAACUGAUGCUUUUGAACUGUGGUGUUGGAGAAGACUCUUGAGAGUCCCUUGGACUGCAAGGAGAUCCAACCAGUCCAUCCUAAAGGAGAUUGGUCCUGGGUGUUCAUCAGAAGGACUGAUGUUGAAGCUGAAACUCCAAUACUUUGGCCACCUGAUGUGAAGGGCUGACUCAUCUGAAAAGACUCUGAUGCUGGGAAAGACUGAGGGCAGGAGGAGAAGGGGACAACAGAGGAUGAGAUGGUUGGACGGCAUCACGGACUCAAUGGAUGUGAGUUUGAGCAAGCUCCGGGAGAUGGUGAGGACAGAGAGCCCUGGCGUGCUGCCGUCCGUGGGGUUGCAGAGUCGGACACGACUGAGCGACUGAACAGCAACAAAGAUGCCGCCUCUGAAGGGC